rnacentral:rRNA from 1 species
GUCUACAGCCAUACCACCCUGAGCACGCCGGAUCUCCUCUGAUCUCGGAAGCUAAGCUUGGGCCUAGUUAGAACUUGGAUGGGAGAAGAGGGAAAUAGAAAGGGAAACA